rnacentral:tRNA from 1 species
GAGGGUAUAGCUCAGUGAUACAGCACGUGCUUAGCAUUCACAAGGUCCUGGGUUCAAUCCCCAAUACCUCCA